UUCAAGACAUUUACCUGUUUUAACAAAUUUAAUUCACCUGUUAAUCAGCCAUCAAUUCAAACCAGGUGUUCUGAGGUUCCACCAUGUUAGGUUGCUGCCAUUUCAUCAUCAUCUGAUGCAUUCACUUCCAUAAUAACUUCAGAGUCAGAUUUGACACAUUUGAUUAGUAUUUAAAUUUAUGGUUGUUUAUUAAUUAUUUAACAACUUUUAUCCAUUAGUUGCAAAAGAGAAACCAAUGGCGUUUGCUUUAACUAAAUCUGUGGUCCUAAAGAAGGUGAAAGUUCAUAUCAAAGGCUUGUUUGCUUCGCUACAGAGACCAGGUUGGGACAAAACCUUAAGGAAAGAUUAACAACAACACUAGACAUCAAAAGCCUCAGCGCUCCUGAACUGCUGGAUCAUGAAUCUUGUAAGACGAGCAGCUGCAGCGGAAACUGUUUUCGCCCUGUUUCAGCCUCAUGGCCACAUUUUGCAGAGGAGCUGUUGUGCAAUCAGGACUAAUUCAGGAGGGGGAGCUUGUAAGAUGCAAGCUUCAUGGGAUCAGUGAGCAAGCCUUCUUUGAUCUCCCGUCCCAGAUAAUAUAGGUCAUCUCUUCUGGGGGGAAACAACAAAAACCAAAUGAGGUGGAAAACAUCGUUCAGCCCACCUCUUUGGAGCAAGAAAGCAAAUAUGCCCCCCAACCCAGAAUCCCAGCUGCCUAAAUGAAACCACAGAAGAAACGCAGCUGACCCGUUUCCAUGGUCUCCAUCUGCACACAGCAGCCUGUGUGCAGAUGAGAGGAAGAGGAAUUUCUGAAAUGUGAAAUAUUGCAUCUGUCAUUUCCCAUCCUCCUGCUUGUAUGUGGAGCCUAUUCACACUGGGUAUCCAUGGCAACUGUUUUAUAAUGCCUCACCAAACACCUUAGAAGAGGUUUCUUUUUAUCUGGGCCAGAGGGCUGGGACAGAGGCGGCGGAGAAUCAAACGAGAGGGCAAAUGUGACAGGUGAAGGGUUGCCAAACGUAGCUUUCUGCAGCGAAAAUGGCAAACAAUAAAAGAAACAAUGAGGUUCAUCAUUUUUUUUUUUUUGAGGUUCUGCUGCUGGCUGCGGCGGCGGCAGUCACAGAAAGGCAGCCAUCGGUUCCUGUGCUGCAGUGAGACGCGCUGGCACCGACAGUCGCUACACAGGAGCGUGUAAGCUGGGCGCUCGAGGACAAGGCCAGCCAUGCGGAAUACAGCAGGCGCGAGCUUGACGGCAGGGCAGCGCGCGGCCAGCUGGGGCUUCUGCAGCCACGAGCCCCUGGCACGGCCAAUCAGGGGCGAGCCCCGGACUUUGUUCAUGCAUGCUAAUGCGCUCGUCCGAGGAGGGAUCAGCCGGGUUGGGGUUGAGGGUUGCUACGGAUACGGCAGCAGCCACACUUUACCUGAGCAGGCAGAUAAAUCUCGUCGCUGGACGGAGCGUUAGACGAGUCGUCCAGCCAGAACCGCUCUUGAUGUUAUGAGAGCCGGCAGCAGAUCACGCUGUGACUCACAAGGUUAUGUGCAGCUUAGGAACAGGAGAAAUAAAAGAGAAAACAGCAACAAGGCAGGAAUAUUGGCCCAAACACAGUCAAUCUGGACCUUUUCCAUGUUUUGUCACAUUAAAGCCACAAACUUUGAUGUAUUUAGUAGGAUUUAUGUGGGACAGAGACACGGGAUAGUGGAUAGUUGUCAAAUUUUAGAAACAUUUGUCAUGCUUUUUACAUAAAGACUCAAAAUAAAACAACCCAAAGUAAAAUCUACCUGUGUGUAAUUUAAUCUUAGCAUAAAUCCAGCUGAAGAAUAAAAGAUCAAAGAGCAGGGAAAGGAUUUUUGUUGAGCAACACCUGUAGAGAAGUCUGGACUGUGAUGUGUUUUACUUCCAGACUUCCUUCACAAGUUCAUAAUUACCUUUAAUGUCUUGAUUUACCAUGUGAAAUACCAGGCUAGAUGUGCAAAGCCAGCCCAAAAGACUUGAAGCUGUAAUUACAGGAGAGCAUUGUUCUACAGAGUACUGGCUUGGGGCAAACUAAAAAUAAAUGCACACCACACUUUUCAGUUUUGCAUUUGUAAAAAGAUCCAAUCAUUUUUAAUUUUCAUUGUCACAACAUUGUGUUGGUGAAAAAUACCAUCAAAAUACAUAGCAGUGGUAAAUCACAAAAUGUGAAAUGAAGUUUAUAUAUUUUAUAAGGAUCUGGAUUAUUGUAAAGUGUUUGCAUUGAACAUAUCAAAACUGUAGAAGUGCAAGGAAGGUAUUUUUCUGUAUUUUCAGAUUUUUGCAGCGGUAGCAGCUCCAGUUUGUUGGGUUUUUUUUUUCUUGAGGUCGACCAGCUUCACUUACCUGCUUUGCUAAUUUCCUAUUAAUUUCCUCUGUAAAUUUAUGCAGAAUCUGUCCCCAAUUACACCCGAGGUGUGAAUGGAAACUGGUCCUGGUCAGUAAAUGAAGCGGGACGGUCAAUCAGAAAGCGGCUUUAUUCAAGCUGGACCGCUAAUAGUAAUGCAUGUCUGACUGUCCUGGCAGCUCAUAUGAAUAACAUCAAAUUAUAAACUCGGCGUUGACAUUUUGGGACCUGAACUUCAGACCCUGUUCUUGUGGAAUCAGUCUGCAGAUGAGACUCAGAUUUAGCUGUGAAACUUUCUGGAGCAGAGGCGAAUUUCAUGAGAUGAGCCUCACACAUCCGUCUUAAAGGAAAUGUUUGCCAACCUUCCAGUAAACCUGAAACACCAAGAAUAGAUUGCAGAAACAAACCGUCCAAUCGAUCCUGGGAUGUGUCGGUUUUUCAGCUCUGCAGGUCUCAACGCAGACAGAGGCUAUGGAAGGAUAUUUGGAGUCAAACCCUCAGGAUAAAAUAAAUGACCCUUUCAAGACAUUUUCCUUCCUGAGCUCGAUGUUAUCAAGUUCUGUCAGCUGUGGGUGGGCAUUUGAUGAUUUAGGUGGCAGGAACAUAAUUUCCUUUGGAAAAGAUCAACAGCACAAAUACCACGAAACAAAAUGAAAGUUCCUCCUAAUUUUUGUCAUUUCAAUUAGACAGAUUCUUAAAAUCUGUUACAUUUCUAUUAAUUGUCCUUGCUUGAGGCUUACCACUCUGCAAAAAACAUAAAAUCUCAUCAAGUAUUUUUGGUCUAGUUUCAAGUAGAAAUAUUUUAGCACACUUGAAA